GACGAACGCUGGCGGCGUGCCUAAUACAUGCAAGUCGUGCGGACCUUUUAAAAGCUUGCUUUUAAAAGGUUAGCGGCGGACGGGUGAGUAACACGUGGGCAACCUGCCUGUAAGACUGGGAUAACGCCGGGAAACCGGGGCUAAUACCAGAUCGUUUUUUCCUCAGCAUGGAGGAAAAAGGAAAGGCGGCUUCGGCUGCCACUUACAGAUGGGCCCGCGGCGCAUUAGCUAGUUGGCGGGGUAACGGCCCACCAAGGCAACGAUGCGUAGCCGACCUGAGAGGGUGAUCGGCCACAUUGGGACUGAGACACGGCCCAAACUCCUACGGGAGGCAGCAGUAGGAAAUCUUCCGCAAUGGACGAAAGUCUGACGGAGCAACGCCGCGUGAGUGAAGAAGGCCUUCGGGUCGUAAAACUCUGUUGCCGGGGAAGAACAAGUGCCGUUCGAACAGGGCGGCGCCUUGACGGUACCCGGCCAGAAAGCCACGGCUAACUACGUG
rnacentral:rRNA from 1 species